GACGUAGGGCGCGAGCGUUGUCCGGAUUUAUUGGGCGUAAAGAGCUCGUAGGCGGCUUGUCGCGUCGACUGUGAAAUCCCGAGGCUCAACCUCGGGUCUGCAGUCGAUACGAGCAAACUAGAGUGUUGCAGGGGGAGACUGGAAUUCCUGGUGUAGCGGUGAAAUGCGCAGAUAUCAGGAGGAACACCGAUGGCGAAGGCAGGUCUCUGGGCAUUAACUGACGCUGAGGAGCGAAAGCAUGGGGGAGCGAACAGG
rnacentral:rRNA from 1 species